rnacentral:rRNA from 1 species
UACGUAGGGUGCAAGCGUUAGUCGGAAUUACUGGGCAUAAAGCGUACGCAGGCGGUUUGUUAAGGCAGUCGUGAAAUCCCCGGGCUUAACCUGGGAACUGCGAUUGUGACUGGCAAGCUAGGGUGUGGCGGAGGGGGGUGGAAUUCCACGUGUAGCAGUGAAAUGCCUAGAGAUGUGGAGGAACACCGAUGGCGAAGGCAGCCCCCUGGGCUAUCACUGACGCUCAUGCACGAAAGCGUGGGGAGCAAACAGG